GACGAACGCUGGCGGCGUGCCUAAUACAUGCAAGUAGAACGCUGAAGGAGGAGCUUGCUUCUCUGGAUGAGUUGCGAACGGGUGAGUAACGCGUAGGUAACCUGCCUGGUAGCGGGGGAUAACUAUUGGAAACGAUAGCUAAUACCGCAUAAUAGUAGAUGUCGCAUGACAUUUGCUUAAAAGGUGCAAUUGCAUCACUACCAGAUGGACCUGCGUUGUAUUAGCUAGUUGGUGAGGUAACGGCUCACCAAGGCAACGAUACAUAGCCGACCUGAGAGGGUGAUCGGCCACACUGGGACUGAGACACGGCCCAGACUCCCACGGGAGGCAGCAGUAGGGAAUCUUCGGCAAUGGACGGAAGUCUGACCGAGCAACGCCGCGUGAGUGAAGAAGGUUUUCGGAUCGUAAAGCUCUGUUGUAAGAGAAGAACGAGUGUGAGAGUGGAAAGUUCACACUGUGACGGUAUCUUACCAGAAAGGGACGGCUAACUACGUG
rnacentral:rRNA from 1 species